rnacentral:rRNA from 1 species
UACGGGGGGGGGGCAAGCGUUGUUCGGAAUUACUGGGCGUAAAGGGCCCGUAGGCGGCCAACUAAGUCAGACGUGAAAUCCCUCGGCUUAACCGGGGAACUGCGUCUGAUACUGGAUGGCUUGAGUUCGGGAGAGGGAUGCGGAAUUCCAGGUGUAGCGGUGAAAUGCGUAGAUAUCUGGAGGAACACCGGUGGCGAAGGCGGCAUCCUGGACCGACACUGACGCUGAGGAGCGAAAGCCAGGGGAGCAAACGGG